rnacentral:rRNA from 1 species
AGGCAGCAGUGGGGAAUAUUGCACAAUGGGGGAAACCCUGAUGCAGCAACGCCGCGUGAGUGAUGACGGUCUUCGGAUUGUAAAGCUCUGUCUUCAGGGACGAUAAUGACGGUACCUGAGGAGGAAGCCACGGCUAACUACGUGCCAGCAGCCGCGGUAAUACGUUGGUGGCGAGCGUUGUCCGGAUUUACUGGGCGUAAAGGGAGCGUAGGCGGAUUUUUAAGUGAGAUGUGAAAUACUCGGGCUUAACCUGAGUGCUGCAUUUCAAACUGGAAGUCUAGAGUGCAGGAGAGGAGAAGGGAAUUCCUAGUGUAGCGGUGAAAUGCGUAGAGAUUAGGAAGAACACCAGUGGCGAAGGCGCUUCUCUGGACUGUAACUGACGCUGAGGCUCGAAAGCGUGGGGAGCAAACAAGAUUAGAUACCCUGGUAGUUCACGCCGUAAACGAUGAAUACUAGGUGCAGGGGUUGUCAUGACCUCUGUGCCGCCGCUAACGCAUUAAGUAUUCCGCCUGGGGAGUACGGUCGCAAGAUUAAAACUCAAAGGAAUUGACGGGGGCCCGCACAAGCAGCGGAGCAUGUGGUUUAAUUCGAAGCAACGCGAAGAACCUUACCUAGACUUGACAUCUCCUGCAUUACUCUUAAUCGAGGAAGUCCCUUCGGGGACAGGAUGACAGGUGGUGCAUGGUUGUCGUCAGCUCGUGUCGUGAGAUGUUGGGUUAAGUCCCGCAACGAGCGCAACCCUUAUUGUUAGUUGCCAUCAUUAAGUUGGGCACUCUAGCGAGACUGCCCGGGUUAACCGGGAGGAAGGUGGGGAUGACGUCAAAUCAUCAUGCCCCUUAUGUCUAGGGCUACACACGUGCUACAAUGGUCGGUACAAUAAGACGCAAGCCCGCGAGGGGGAGCAAAACUGGAAAACCGAUCUCAGUUCGGAUUGUAGGCUGAAACUCGCCUACAUGAAGCUGGAGUUGCUAGUAAUCGCGAAUCAGCAUGUCGCGGUGAAUACGUUCCCGGGCCUUGUACACACCGCCCGUCA